ACGUGGUAAAAAUAAGAUGGCGCGUUUAGUUGAUUUUAGCUUAGUUUUAGCCAAUAAUUCUUCAAAAAAUUUUUAAAGGCCCAAAUAUUUUUCAAAUUGCUAUUUUUCCUCUGAAAAUUGUGAAGAUUGGCUACCACAACUAUACAGGAAAAUUACAGUAUUGUAUAUAGUAUCAGCCCAUGCAUUCAUUUUCUCAAAAUACAUACAUGAGAAGAUACCAGCUGUACAACAACAACAGUCAUAUAAUGAUCAUCUGGCCCCAGUAUAUAACAAUGUGUGGGAGAAACAGCUGCUUGCUUCAUGUUUUAAAUGACU